rnacentral:rRNA from 1 species
AUUGAACGCUGGCGGCAGGCUUAACACAUGCAAGUCGAGCGGGGUGAUGGUGCUUGCACUAUCACUUAGCGGCGGACGGGUGCGUAAUGCUUAGGAAUCUGCCUAUUAGUGGGGGACAACAUCUCGAAAGGGAUGCUAAUACCGCAUACGUCCUACGGGAGAAAGCAGGGGAUCACUUGUGACCUUGCGCUAAUAGAUGAGCCUAAGUCGGAUUAGCUAGUUGGUGGGGUAAAGGCCUACCAAGGCGACGAUCUGUAGCGGGUCUGAGAGGAUGAUCCGCCACACUGGGACUGAGACACGGCCCAGACUCCUACGGGAGGCAGCAGUGGGGAAUAUUGGACAAUGUGGGGAACCCUGAUCCAGCCAUGCCGCGUGUGUGAAGAAGGCCUUAUGGUUGUAAAGCACUUUAAGCGAGGAGGAGGCUCUUUUGGUUAAUACCCAAGAUGAGUGGACGUUACUCGCAGAAUAAGCACCGGCUAACUCUGUGCCAGCCGCCGCGGUAA